rnacentral:rRNA from 1 species
AUUGAACGCUGGCGGCAUGCCUUACACAUGCAAGUCGAACGGUAACAGGUCUUCGGAUGCUGACGAGUGGCGAACGGGUGAGUAAUACAUCGGAACGUGCCUAGUAGUGGGGGAUAACUACUGGAAAGAGUGGCUAAUACCGCAUGAGAUCUACGGAUGAAAGCAGGGGAUCGCAAGACCUUGUGCUACUAGAGCGGCCGAUGGCAGAUUAGGUAGUUGGUGGGAUAAAAGCUUACCAAGCCGACGAUCUGUAGCUGGUCGGAGAGAACGAUCAGCCACACUGGGACUGAGAAACGGCCCAGACUCCUACGGGAGGCAGCAGUGGGGAAUUUUGGACAAUGGGCGCAAGCCUGAUCCAGCAAUGCCGCGUGCAGGAUGAAGGCCUUCGGGUUGUAAACUGCUUUUGUACGGAACGAAAAGCCCCGGGUUAAUACCCUGGGGUCAUGACGGUACCGUAAGAAUAAGCACCGGCUAACUACGUGCCAGCAGCCGCAGUAA